UCCAUUUUUCUAGUCCACAGGUCCUCGCCACCAGCUCUGGCAGGUUUCCCCGCCGCCAGGGAACAUGCGACAACCUCAGGAUGCUCAGAGGCCUCACCGAGACUCUCCUACAUCCAGCUCCCUGAGGAUGUAAUUGCUCACACGGGGUGACUGCGUGCUCAGGUGCAAUGGAGAGCCCGAAGGAUCGCCGUCUCUCCCGGACAAGGAUGAAGGACCCCCUCACGUAUGCUCCACGACGCAGCACUGUAUUUACACACGGUGAUGACCGUGGCAAAGGGUUACACACAAGUUCUCUUGGUGAUACAUUGUAUGCGGAGGAGGCCGCUGUUACUGCUCUCUGUUCUUGUUUGUGCAACCGGCUCAGAUGCGAGCUCCCGGGAGGAGGUGUGCUCCGUGCCCUCGGUUUCGCUGCUGCCAGGUGUGUGUUUUACGGAACGGCCCUCGUCAUUUUUCUCCCGCGCUCCACCUUAAGGGCAGCUUCCCCAGACCUCCAUGUUUGUAUUGGUGUUAACAGGCACACUGAUGUACCGUGUGAGGUUUGAUGCUGGGGAGCCUGCUGGAUCUCUGCAUGACCUGCUGCUCUUUCCUGCUCUCCUCUCGUUCUUUCUUCCUCCGAUUAAAAGCGCAGUUGCCUCCUUCCUUUUCUCUUCUGCCUCCGGGACUGAAGCCCUCGAUCUUGCCGCUGUCGCCCCCUCUCACGCGUAGAGGAUGCUGGAGCUGAAGAGGGGUGUUAGAUGCACAUCCCGGUGGUGGAGGUAGUUUGAUGUUUGGAUUUUCCUUGAGACGAUCAGGAAAAGAUCUUGACCCCUGGAGGUGCUCACAUCUUCUUUUCCCAGGGGACUUUGGUGCUAUGCUCUCCUGCGGGACCUGGAACUUCUGUACGCAUCAUCAGGUGGAGCACUGAGACCUGGGUUUCCCCAGGAGAGACCAAAGAUAGAGGGCACAGGAGGGGACACGCCCCCGCAGCGCCCUCAUCACGCACCAGCAGACCAGGAUCUCCAGGUUCUGGCCUGGGCUGGCAGUGAGAGUGGCCCCGUGUUCGAAAAGCCAACACUAAAGUCCCUUCCUUGGAGGAGGACGAGGAGCAGGAGCCGUGUGCGGAGAGAGUAGGACGAGGAGAGGAAGGACAACGGGAACAGCUGGUCAUCAACUUGGUCGUCAAGCCAGUCGUCACUCUGGGUGUCAAUAUAACUCUCCCAGGACCAUGUACCCUCAGGGACGGCAUCCAGUCCCCUUGCAGCAUGGCCAGACUUUAAAGUUCACGGUUCUGGACACCUUGGACCGCAUCAAGGAGGAGUUCCAGUUCUUCCAGGCACAGUACCACAGCCUGAAGCUGGAGUGUGAGAAACUGGCCAGCGAGAAGAUGGAGAUGCAGAGGCAUUACAUCAUGUACUAUGAGAUGUCCUAUGGACUGAACAUUGAAAUGCACAAACAGGCGGAGAUUGUGAAACGUCUUAACGCUAUCUGUGCCCAGAUCGUCCCUUUCCUGUCCCAGGAGCACCAGCAGCAGGUGGUCCAGGCGGUGGAGAGGGCCAAGCAGGUGACCAUGGCGGAGCUAAACACCAUCAUUGGGCAGCAGCAGCUCCAGAACCUGUCUCACCCCACCCCGGGCAUCCCCGUGGCCCCCUUUCCCUCAGGGGCAUCGCUGAGCAGUGGCACUGGAAUUGUGGCCCUCUCCGGAGCGCUUGGGGGAGCGGCCCACCCGACCAAAGACGAUCGCGCUCACGCAGACCCAGAGCCGCUCAGAGUGGGAACUCCCAGCAGGAGCAAAUCGGCAUCGUCGACAGACAGUCAGCCCACGGAGGAACCCCAGGGUCCAUCAGGGGUCUUUCCGGUCAAGGGUGCUGGUGACGUGAAGCAGAAACGCAGUGACCGUAAGGACCUGGCCCCUCCACACUACGACAGCGAAGAUGGCAAGAGUGAAGACAACCUGAUAGUGGAUGUGUCCAAUGAGGAGGCUGCAUCCCCCAUUGAUGGAGCUCAUCCUCCCUCCUCACCCAGAAGUAAUGAACUGGACCUCAACCUAUGCAUCAGAAAGGAGUUAUGUGGGAGCCCCAGAGACUCAUCUCCACCCAGAAGCCCUCCAACCAUAGACAUGACCAGGGACCCACAGCUGGAGAAAUCAGGCUCUCCAUCCUCCGAGUCAAGCUCUUCUUCACCUUCCCACAAGGAUGUUCUUAGCCCCAGCCCCUCCUGCUUGCGUCUUGCUUGUAAAUCCACAUCCUCAGCUGACUCCCUAACCCUGCGGAGCCCGUUGUCUCUGCCUUCUGGCUCGUUUCCUGCUCAUUUUGGUGUGGUCACCCAUGCUGGGCUGAACAGGGAGUUGGGCAGCCCUGGUGGCUUUGGGGGUGCACCAAACAUCUCCCCCCAGAUGAACACAGCCACUAGCGGAUACACACGCAGUUCAGUGGUGGCAUAUGAGUCCCGCACAAACAUGAGGCCUCUUGGAGGGUGUUCCUCAGCAGCCGUCUCCGGAGGCAGCAAGCCGUCAUACUCUUUCUAUCUGAGUGCAGAUGGACAUAUGCAGCCAGUAUCCUUUCCCCAUGAUGCUCUGGUGGGUCCAGGUAUACCGCGCCAUGCCCGCCAGAUCCACACCCUCACCCAUGGCGAGGUUGUGUGUGCCGUAACCAUUAGCACCUCCACCCACCAUGUGUAUACCGGUGGCAAAGGCUGCGUAAAGAUGUGGGACAUUAGCCAGCCUGGCAACAAGAGCUCCAUGGCCCAGCUGGACUGUCUGAACAGAGACAAUUACAUCCGCUCCUGUAAGCUUCUCCCAGAUGGACGGACCUUGGUUGUGGGAGGCGAAGCCAGCACCCUGUCCAUUUGGGACCUGGCCUCACCCACACCACGCAUUAAAGCGGAGCUAACAUCCUCUGCCCCUGCCUGUUAUGCCCUGGCCAUCAGCCCAGACAGCAAGGUCUGCUUCUCCUGCUGUAGCGACGGCAACAUUGUUGUGUGGGACCUGCACAACCAAACCUUGGUCAGACAGUUCCAGGGUCACACAGAUGGGGCCAGCUGCAUUGACAUCGCCAAUGACGGAGUCAAGCUGUGGACAGGGGGCCUGGACAGCACAGUACGUUGCUGGGACCUGAGAGAAGGGCGGCAGAUGCAGCAGCAUGACUUCACCUCUCAGAUCUUCUCUCUGGGCCACUGUCCCACAGGAGACUGGCUGGCUGUGGGAAUGGAGAGCAGCAAUGUUGAGGUGAUGCACGUCUCCAAAACCGACAAGUACCAGCUGCGCCUCCACGAGAGCUGUGUGCUAUCACUCAAGUUUGCCUGCUGUGGCAAGUGGUUUAUUAGUACAGGAAAAGACAAUCUUCUAAAUGCAUGGAGGAGUCCAUAUGGAGCCAGCAUAUUCCAGUCCAAGGAAUCCUCCUCAGUUCUGAGCUGUGACCUGUCUCCCGAUGACAGUUACAUUGUCACUGGUUCUGGAGAUAAGAAGGCAACAGUGUAUGAGAUCAUAUACUGAGGUUGCUGACUAGGACUUUGGUUUUGUUGAGAUAGUAUCUGCUUUCAUAAACCUUUCCAUCCUUCUCCGAAUUCUGCUACUGCAACAUCAGACCCUCUGCACUUCAGCUAACAGUUUGUCCGUCCCCUGACCUCUCAUCAUUCCACACCACCUGCCAGGAGAGAUGAUGCAUGCAAUUACUGCAGUGUUCCAAUUAAGAUUUUGGGAUUCUUUUUACUGCACUACAGAGGUGGUAACUCCACACGGACAAUGCGCUACUAAGAGGACCCAAAGCAGUAUUUGGAAUGGGGGAGAGAAGGUAUUUGAUGCUCCAGGAACUUGAGGACAACUGCUCCUGUAUACAAAUGAGCAGGACAGCACAGGCAUUGUUUAAAACUAACUCCUGAAAGCCAAGGAACCAUUCCAAAUGCACUAUUACUUCUGUAAUACAUGUAUAAAAUUCUGAUGAAAAUAAAAGUGCGAUGAUCUUU